GCCGAAUCCUAGCCACUAGACCACCAGGGAGACUUAUGAAUACCCCAAUUGACCACUUGAAGCAAACUCCACAGAGGACACUUGACUCGCUUUCUAAAGCCGACAGGUCAGGCAUUGAGCCCACCAUCGUCAUCUCUCCCAUCCACUGCCCGGGUGAAACCAGCAGACAGCGGAGCGCAUACGGAAUCCAUUCCGUAUGCACUCCUUCGCACCAAGUGCGCCAGGAUGACACAUCUCUCCCUCCGAGUUUCGGAUUCCUCGUGGGUAAACUGUCGGUUUGACAGGGAGCACCCACCCCCACCCCGUCACCUCCAGCACUACAGCGCGCACGAUCCGAAGACCUCCAGGGACGGAUUAGGAUCGCUCCUCUCACCGUGGGCUCCAGUCAGCCUGCUCCGCGGCUGUGCUCAGGGUUUGUGGUACCCAAACGGACCUCCACAAGGAAUGACACUCUGAUGCAAAAGAAAAGGUUUCUUUAUUUUCAAGCUGGCCAGCCAGGAUCUUACUCCAUCGGGAGGAAGUGUAACCCCAACCAGCAAUUAAGGGUAGCUUUUAAAGGAAAAGACCAUAAGGCUGAAAGCCACAAAUUACAAAGUUUCCAUGAUUACUCAAGGUCAUUACAAAGUACAAAGUAAAGCAAAAACAAUAUAUUUUAGCAAGACACAUUUGAGCAUAAUAGGGCAGGAGCCUGGGGUCAUGAGUUUGCCAAUUAUCCCCUGGGCCAGGGGAUUUUUUUACAACCGGAAAUUAGCGGUUAUCUGGUUUUCUCUAGGACAAAGGAAUAAUGACACAGAUGGUGGUGAGCUAACUCUUUCUCUGAGAGUUGGGCUCAGGCUCCUAGUCAUGUGCUCCCAGUUAGAGGGUCAAAAUCUUUCUACCAUCAGAAAUUCCCUUUUUUCUCUGUGUAGGUUCAGCAGACCCAAGUCUUUAAACUUUUAUUAAUUUUAAUUUUUGGUCUCUCGUUUUCUCAUUGAACACAAAUUCCCUGAGACACUGCAUGUUUUCAAAGGGCAAGAAAAGCACAGUGACUGGAGUAUCUCAGACAGGAGAAUUUUCAUUCACAGAGCCCACAUACUUUCUGUCAAGAACACUGUAGAGUUUUCUGGGUGCCCACCAACUGUUGGGAAGGGGGAGUAUUGGUCUCUUUGUUUAUAGCAAACACCUUAUAUGCCAGAUCAAAGAGCAAAGAGGAGAGGUGAGGAGCAAAAAUGACAAGAACAAUCAAAAUUGGUCUUCCCUUUGGACAAGCAGUUUGACAGUGAACUAUCCAAGAGCCAGACUGGCCAGUCUUCUUUGAUCUGAGUGACCAGUUCAUCACAGAAAACAAUUAGCUUUUGGAGGACUCUAAGUGCCUUAUUUCCACCCAAAAUACGCUGUAUAGUAUCUGUGUGCCUGUGCACUGUGUGUGGUCCUCUGCUGUACCUCCCCCUGAGCCAAGCCCAUGUGGCAACAUUACCCUAGGUCAGCAUUGGAGACAGCUGGGAGAAAGGUUGUUGUGUAGGCAAGAAAACAAGAAAGGAACAUGGCUACAGUUGGGAACACCGGACCCCUGUAGAAGACACAUUUGCAGAGUGGGCUCAGAGUAGAGCAUGACAUAAACACCAUUAUGUGACAAUGGCAACACCCAUCUCUUCACUGUGUGAGUCAGCAAGUGUAUGCUCGAUUUCAUAACAGUUAUGCUCACUUAAAGGCAGUUUUCUGGCCGGUGGGGAUGGUGCACGCCUUUAAUCCCAGCACUUGGGAGGCAGCGGCCUGUGAAGGACAAAAAUUCAAAUUAAUAAAAGUUUAAAAACUUAGGGAACCUCUAAUAAUAAAGGUGUGAUGGAGAUCAGGGCAAAGCAGAGACAGCAAGCCGAUUUCCCUUUAGGUCUAGAAUCCUCAACUUUCAAGUGUCCGAACCCAAACAGGGAGUCAAAGGAAACCACCC
rnacentral:lncRNA from 1 species